UGCUGAAUGCUCCUGUCAGGCCUGGCUGCUCUCUGGUCACUUUGCUGCAGUUAGGAACUGUGACCGAUGCAGAUAUCGCACAAGCUGCAGUCAGGCUCUGUGAAAUCACAAGAUCAGACUGCAUGGUGCUUUGCCAGGAGAUUGGCUGAGAAGAAACAAGCAUCUCUGGGGCAUCACAUCACUUGAGUGUGAAGACUGUGGCUUUGUCACGGAUCCGUCAGGCGGCAAUCUCAUGAGCAAGCGUCUAACUGACGGGCCCUGCCAUGCCUGCCGCGUUGUGG